GGGGGGAAAGCAAAAACUCUCGCUUAACGCACACCAGACGACAGGAUAUUUUCUUAUGGACAUGCCACAAUGUGGACUCUGCUAAAUUCCAUCCAAAGGUGGUGGCUGUUUUCAGGGCCAGCGGAAGCAGAUCCGGCUGGCUAAGUGGCACCUGGGAGCAGUAUCGAGCGGCGCAGUCGGCUGACUUUUACAGAUGUGUCGUGAUGUGCUUAUUGGCACAACAGAGGAUCGUUUGCUACUCCAACUCCUGCUACGUCACCACCACACAGCAUAGUAUGAGACCAGCCGGGUGGGGAGGCAAACCAAACAGCCAUUCCCAUGGGGGUGGAGAACAACUGCCAGAUGGAUGGAAAAGACACAAACUGCAAGAAAUGCCACAAUGACAAUAUGCAGACUGCUUUGCUCCUGUCAACAACAAGGAACAAUUGGUUAUGUAUUGAAGAGGAAACGGGAACUUCAAACAGAACUCUGAUAUCACAAGUCUAUCACAAGCCCCAAAAUCGACACGGCAAAACAAACGUCUCAAGAAGGCAAUGAGAGUUUUGGGUGAUCGUGGACGAAUAAACUAU